AAUAAAUUGCCUGAUUAAAGGAUUACUUUGAUAGAGUAAAAUAAAUAAUUUUUAAAAUUAUAUUUAUUA
rnacentral:tRNA from 1 species